AGAGUUUGAUCCUGGCUCAGGACGAACGCUGGCGGCGUGCUUAACACAUGCAAGUCGAACGGUGACGACAGGGCUUGCCUUGUCUGAUCAGUGGCGAACGGGUGAGUAACACGUGAGUAACCUGCCCCAGACUCUGGGAUAACCCCGGGAAACCGGAGCUAAUACCGGAUAUGACACCAGUCCGCAUGGGCAUGGUGUGGAAAGUUUUUCGGUCUGGGAUGGACUCGCGGCCUAUCGGCUUGUUGGUGAGGUAGUGGCUCACCAAGGCGACGACGGGUAGCCGGCCUGAGAGGGCGACCGGCCACACUGGGACUGAGACACGGCCCAGACUCCUACGGGAGGCAGCAGUGGGGAAUAUUGCACAAUGGGCGGAAGCCUGAUGCAGCGACGCCGCGUGAGGGAUGACGGCCUUCGGGUUGUAAACCUCUUUCAGCAGGGAAGAAGCGCAAGUGACGGUACCUGCAGAAGAAGCACCGGCUAACUACGUGCCAGCCGCCGCGGUAAUAC
rnacentral:rRNA from 1 species